rnacentral:rRNA from 1 species
AUACGGAGGAUGCAAGCGUUAUCCGGAUUUAUUGGGUUUAAAGGGUGCGUAGGCGGUUUGCUAAGCGGGAGGUGAAAUGCCGGCGCUCAACGUCGGAAGUGCCUCCCGAACUGGUGGACUGGAAUGACUCUGCCGUGGGAGGAAUGUGUAGUGUAGCGGUGAAAUGCUUAGAGAUUACACAGAACACCGAUUGCGAAGGCAGCUCACGAAGGGUUGAUUGACGCUGAGGCACGAAAGCGUGGGGAUCAAACAGGAUUAGAUACCCUGGUAGUCCACGCAGUAAACGAUGAUGGCUAACCGCUGGUUUAUUCGGAUCAGUGGCCAAGCGAAAGCGAUAAGCCAUCCACCUGGGGAGUACGACCGCAAGGUUGAAACUCAAAUGAAUUGACGUGG